rnacentral:rRNA from 1 species
CGCCGUGUACAGAGACGGUGCGAGAACCGGAGGUGCGGGAGAGUAAGGAGCCCUCCCAUCAGUUAGUAAGUAGGGUAAGGGCCUACUUAGACGAAGACGGGUACGGGGAAUUAGAGUUCGAUUCCGGAGAGGGAGCCUGAGAGACGGCUACCAGGUCCAAGGACAGCAGCAGGCGCGCAAAUUACCGAAGCCCCGCGUUUCGGGGCGGGUAGUAAAGGAGACGUGUAAAGCGAUGUGCAGGUAAAAUAUGCACUGGUUAACAGGGAGUAAAGACUGGUGCAGCAUCCCGCGGGAAUACAGCUCCUGGAGUGUCUAUGAUGAUUGCUGCAGUAAAGAGUUCGUAGUCCGGGCUGCGUGACUGGGGUUAAGGCCCGCUAUCGAGGCGGGCAGUGCGCCAUAAAAGCAAAGGAUGAAGAAGCGGCCGGGGGCCAGGUUAUAAGCGACGAGAGGUGAAAUUUGAUGACUCGCUUAGGAGCAGCGAAGCGAAAGCGCUGGCCAGGGCGAAUCCGAUGAUAAGGACGU